UACGAAGGGGGCUAGCGUUGCUCCGGAAUUACUGGGCGUAAAGCGCACGUAGGCGGAUCCUUAAGUCGGUGGUGAAAUCCUGAAGCUCAACUUCAGAACUGCCUUCGAUACUGGGGCCUUGAGUGCGGUAGGGAGAAGUGGGAAUGGCUGGUGUAGCGGUGAAAUGCGUAGAUAUCAGUCGGAACACCGGUGGCGAAGGCGGCUUCUUGGGCCGUUACUGAC
rnacentral:rRNA from 1 species